rnacentral:lncRNA from 1 species
CUGAAACAGAUGAUCAAACUCAAUUUAGUGGGAUGACUCUAGCUAAGAUGUCAGAAAAGAUUGAGGGCUCAUCUCUGAAUGUCCCAGAGGAAUCAAAUAGGUUGGAAGCUGAAAUAGAUGACCAAGCUCGAUGUGGUGGGAUGGCUCUAGCGAACAUGCCAGAAAAGAUAGAGGGCUUAUCUUCCUCAGGGAUGCAGGAAGACAAGAUUGAGGGCUCAUCUCUGAAUGUACCAGAGGAAUCAAAUAGGUUGGAAGCUGAAACAGAAGAUCAAACUCAAUUUGGUGGGAUGACUCUUGCUAAGAUGUCAGAAAAGAUUGAGGGCUCAUGUUUGAAUGUCUCAGAGGAAUCUAAUAGGUCGGAAGCUGAAACAAAUGACCAAGCUCAAUGUGGUGGGAUGGCUCUAGCGAACAUGCCAAAAAAGAUAGAGGGCUUAUCUUUCUCAGGGAUGCGGGAAGACAAGAUUGAGGGCUCAUCUCAGAAUGUCCCAGAGGAGUCAAAUAGGUU